GGAUAGCUCGGUAUUGGUAAACUAACCUACUUGCUACGUAGUUGCUUUAUAGCUAUCAGCGUUCGAAUCGCUGGCUAUCCG
rnacentral:tRNA from 1 species